rnacentral:rRNA from 1 species
UACAGAGGUCCCGAGCGUUGUUCGGAUUCACUGGGCGUAAAGGGUGCGUAGGUGGUGAGGAAAGUCGGAUGUGAAAUCUCCAGGCUCAACCUGGAAACUGCAUUGGAAACUACCUUGCUGGAGGAUUUGAGGGGGGAUUGGAAUACUUGGUGUAGCAGUGAAAUGCGUAGAUAUCAAGUGGAACACCAGUGGCGAAGGCGAGUCCCUGGAAAAUACCUGACACUGAGGCACGAAAGCUAGGGGAGCAAACAGG